GUGUGUGUGUGUGUGUGUGUGUGUGUGUGUGCAGGAUGUGGGUCUUUUAAAUGUGGACACUGGGUGGACUGUGGCACGUGCGUGUUCGGAAGAGGAACUGUUGAGUGGACCAAGGCCUUGGCUUCUGUGUGCAGAAACAAAGCACUUGUUGAAACACUGGACUUUUGCAGUUUCACUCGUUUAAAUUGUUCAUGUACGUUGCUGUUUAUUGUAAUUAAAAAGGGAAGGGCUCGGCAUCCUCCAGAGUUUUCUGCGUCUUUAAUCAUUUCCAAGACCAGCUGGCUUUUUGCCUCCAGAAAAGUAGUUCUUUUGUUACAGUUUUAAGUUAUUUACAAUGAUAUUUAAGUAUAUUUAUGUUUUUUUUUUGUUUUUGUUUUUUUACUAUUUGUAAAAUCUCAAAUAAAUGACAUGUAUUGACAUUAAUAAAAAGUAUUUUGAGUAA